rnacentral:rRNA from 1 species
GGAUGCCUUGGCAUCGAGAGGCGAUGAAGGACGUGAUACGCUGCGAAAAGCCGCGAGGAGCUGCGAAUGAGCUUUGAUCCGCGGAUAUCCGAAUGGGGAAACCCGGCCCUUUAGGGUCAUCGUUGUCUGAAUACAUAGGGCAACGAAGCAAACCCGGUGAACUGAAAUAUCUAAGUAGCCGGAGGAAAGGACAUCAACCGAGACUCCGUUAGU